GCGGUAAGGCUCCUUCGGGAGUACACGAGCGGCGAACGGGUGAGUAACACGUGAGCAAUCUGCCCUUCACACAGGGAUAACUCCGGGAAACCGGAGCUAAUACCUGAUACGACCACCUCGGGCAUCCAAUGGUGGUGGAAAGUUCCGGCGGUGAAGGAUGAGCUCGCGGCCUAUCAGCUUGUUGGUGGGGUAACGGCCCACCAAGGCAACGACGGGUAGCCGGCCUGAGAGGGUGACCGGCCACACUGGGACUGAGACACGGCCCAGACUCCUACGGGAGGCAGCAGUGGGGAAUAUUGGACAAUGGGCGAAAGCCUGAUCCAGCAACGCCGCGUGAGGGAUGACGGCCUUCGGGUUGUAAACCUCUUUCAGCAGGGACGAAGCGCAAGUGACGGUACCUGCAGAAGAAGCACCGGCCAACUACGUGCCAGCAGCCGCGGUAAUACGUAGGGUGCGAGCGUUGUCCGGAAUUAUUGGGCGUAAAGGGCUCGUAGGCGGUCUGUCACGUCGGGAGUGAAAACUCAGGGCUUAACCCUGAGCCUGCUUCCGAUACGGGCAGACUAGAGGUAUGCAGGGGAGAACGGAAUUCCUGGUGUAGCGGUGAAAUGCGCAGAUAUCAGGAGGAACACCGGUGGCGAAGGCGGUUCUCUGGGCAUUACCUGACGCUGAGGAGCGAAAGUGUGGGGAGCGAACAGGAUUAGAUACCCUGGUAGUCCACACCGUAAACGUUGGGCGCUAGGUGUGGGACUCAUUCCACGAGUUCCGUGCCGCAGCUAACGCAUUAAGCGCCCCGCCUGGGGAGUAC
rnacentral:rRNA from 1 species